CUAAUACCGGAUAACAUUUGGAACCGCAUGGUUCUAAAGUGAAAGAUGGUUUUGCUAUCACUUAUAGAUGGACCCGCGCCGUAUUAGCUAGUUGGUAAGGUAACGGCUUACCAAGGCAACGAUACGUAGCCGACCUGAGAGGGUGAUCGGCCACACUGGAACUGAGACACGGUCCAGACUCCUACGGGAGGCAGCAGUAGGGAAUCUUCCGCAAUGGGCGAAAGCCUGACGGAGCAACGCCGCGUGAGUGAUGAAGGGUUUCGGCUCGUAAAACUCUGUUAUUAGGGAAGAACAAACGUGUAAGUAACUGUGCACGUCUUGACGGUACCUAAUCAGAAAGCCACGGCUAACUACGUGCCAGCAGCCGCGGUAAUACGUAGGUGGCAAGCGUUAUCCGGAAUUAUUGGGCGUAAAGCGCGCGUAGGCGGUUUCUUAAGUCUGAUGUGAAAGCCCACGGCUCAACCGUGGAGGGUCAUUGGAAACUGGGAAACUUGAGUGCAGAAAAGGAAAGUGGAAUUCCAUGUGUAGCGGUGAAAUGCGCAGAGAUAUGGAGGAACACCAGUGGCGAAAGGCGACUUUCUGGUCCUGUAACUGACGCAUGAUGUGCGAAAA
rnacentral:rRNA from 1 species